AUGUUUUUGUGUAAAGGUGUGGAGGAGGUAGUGAAUGACACGGGGGCUUCCCCGAAUGCCUCCCCCAAAAAGACCCCACCGUCAGAUGGGAAAACCACAGAAGCGGUGCAGAAUGAUAAAGGUGAAGAAAAGAAACAGCAGGAGGAGCUAGAAAAACAAAUGAAGGCACUAUCCACCACUGACACGUCAGAAACCACGCCCUCGGCCCCGCCCCCGACUCCGCCCACUGCGGGCUCGCCUUCCAAAUCUCCGUACCAAGAAAAAAAGAAGUUCAAAGCUCCCUGUUUCUAAAGAAAAGCAAGAAACAAAAAGAGAAAGCAGAAUCUUGAACUCUUACAGACAAGUGUUCUUCACACAUCUUCACGUCCAUCUACUGACCUUUACAUGCCAUACGAGUUUUUGAUUAUGGUUUUGUGACUUGAAACACGUUUUCGGUACACGAUGCAAACUUCACAAUGCUUCACUGAUGCACAUUGAAAAUGUGACCCUUCCCUUGCUUUAAAAUGAAUUGCACUUAGUACAUGCGUAGAAAAGAGAAUGUGGCAUUGAGUAAGCACUGAUUGUUCAUGUCUAUCCAUUCUGAUUGUUGCUCAUUAUCAUGUUUAUAGAAUUACAUGUGGCAUAACUGUGUUUUUUAACUACCAUCUCCAUCUCACUUUGUUGUGAAUAGCAGGGAUAAACGUAAUGAACGUGUACCAUUCACUGGAAAUCCUGAUUGUGAUGGCUUGCAAAUAAUACACGUCAAAAGGCCAAAAUAAGCAAGAUCAUGGCUUGAUGCUGCAACUUUAAAUGCACGACUUUUUUUCUUCCUCUUAAAUUGUUAUUAUUUAUUAUCUUUUUUAUGUAUGUGUGCUGGAGUUCUUUGAGUACACAUAUGUUGCAAGGAAUAUUUGCAACAUUAAAGCAUCUCAGAACCAUUUAAAUUGACACUGAUAUGUAAUUAUUCAUACUUAAUAUUGUUUUUAUAAU
rnacentral:lncRNA from 1 species